rnacentral:rRNA from 1 species
AUUGAACGCUGGCGGCAGGCUUAACACAUGCAAGUCGAGCGGAGCGAGGGUGCUUGCACCUUAGCUUAGCGGCGGACGGGUGAGUAAUGCUUAGGAAUCUGCCUAUUAGUGGGGGACGACAUUCCGAAAGGAAUGCUAAUACCGCAUACGCCCUACGGGGGAAAGCAGGGGAUCUUCGGACCUUGCGCUAAGAGAUGAGCCUAAGUCGGAUUAGCUAGUUGGUGGGGUAAAGGCCUACCAAGGCGACGAUCUGUAGCGGGUCUGAGAGGCUGAUCCGCCACACUGGGACUGAGAAACGGCCCGGACUCCUAAGGGAGGCAGCAGUGGGGAAUAUUGGACAAUGGGCGGAAGCCUGAUCCAGCCAUGCCGCGUGUGUGAAGAAGGCCUUUUGGUUGUAAAGCACUUUAAGCGAGGAGGAGGCUACUUAGAUUAAUACUCUGGGAUAGUGGACGUUACUCGCAGAAUAAGCACCGGCUAACUCUGUGCCAGCAGCCGCCGUAA